GGCCUAGCGGGGCAGUGGUGACCUAGCAGUUAAGAAAGUGGCCCUGUAAUCGGAAGGUUGCCAACCCGCCAAGCUCAUCCAUUGCACUCUGGCUGUGCUGGCCCCUGCGAAUUCCCCAAAUGUGGGAAUCUCAACUGCAUAAUUUCUGGUAGUGGGGGACUAUGUUCGCACUCUCCCCUG
ensembl:snRNA U1 U1 spliceosomal RNA